AAUAUAAAAUACAGGGCACCCCUGUUCAGUUUUUAGUAUAAGUAUGUCCCAUGCCAUAUUUGGGACAUACUUAUACUAAAAACAUAUUCAUUGUUUAGCUGAAAUUCAACUAUAACU
rnacentral:miRNA from 1 species